rnacentral:rRNA from 1 species
AGUGAACGCUGGCGGUAGGCCUAACACAUGCAAGUCGAACGGCAGCACAGGAGAGCUUGCUCUCUGGGUGGCGAGUGGCGGACGGGUGAGGAAUACAUCGGAAUCUGCCCAGUCGUGGGGGAUAACGUAGGGAAACUUACGCUAAUACCGCAUACGACCUUCGGGUGAAAGAGGGGGAUCGCAAGACCUCUCGCGAUUGGAUGAGCCGAUGUCGGAUUAGCUAGUUGGCGGGGUAAUGGCCCACCAAGGCGACGAUCCGUAGCUGGUCUGAGAGGAUGAUCAGCCACACUGGAACUGAGACACGGUCCAGACUCCUACGGGAGGCAGCAGUGGGGAAUAUUGGACAAUGGGCGCAAGCCUGAUCCAGCCAUACCGCGUGGGUGAAGAAGGCCUUCGGGUUGUAAAGCCCUUUUGUUGGGAAAGAAAUCUUUCAGGCUAAUACCCUGGGAGGAUGACGGUACCCAAAGAAUAAGCACCGUCUAACUUCGUG